GCGGCUGCACGUGUAUUUCUGUCCCGGCGUUUCGUGUAUUUCGCGUAAUUUAUUUAAUAAAACGCGGAAUUUAGAUUAUUAAAGUGUUUAAUUAGAGGGAAAUAGUUUGGGGGCGUGUAAUUAAUAUAGUGAGUAUUGUUUUUAAAAGUUUAUUAGUGAAAACUGAAGGGAUUUGUGGGAAGUGUGCAUGAGGACGCUUGGGCGUGGCUCGUUGGUGAUGAGGCCUAAUUUGUUAAAUAAUUGGCCAAAUUGUUGCUAAAAAGACUGGUAUAUUGUGCAUUGAGUGGGAUUUAGUAAAAUAAUAAAAUGGUAAAUGGACUGAAAAACGAGUAGCGUCUCCACAGAGCUGUGCGACGAAGGGAUGGUGCGGCGAGGGGGGGCAGCCGUACGUGUUCGUGUUGGUAAUGACGCCGAAUCUGUUAAAUAAUUGGUGAAAUAUUGCUAAAAAAACUGGUAAAUGGAGGGUAAAUGCAUUGGCCCGGAAAAGUGUGUUUAUUGAGUGGAAUUUUUUGAAAAAAUAAAAUUCUAAAUAGACAGUUGAGAAAUGGGUAGCGUCUCCACAGAGCUGGGCGACGAAGGGAUGGUGCGGUGAGGGCGGGGCAGCCGUACGUGUCCGGAUUAUGCUGGAAAUUUUCAUUAAAAAACUACUAAAUUGGGUGUGAAUGCAUUGGCCCAGAAAAGUGUGUGAAUUUAGUGACAAUUUUGAAAAAUAAUUGAACGGUUAAUGGAUGAAUGAAAAAUAAGGAGUGUCUCUACAGAGCUGGGCGACAAAGGGAUGGUGCGGCGAGGGGAGGCACCCGUGCUUGUCGGUGGCUUGGUGAUGACGCGUAACCUGUUAAAUAAAAUAAUUGGACAAAUUGUUGGUUAAAAAAAAAGUGGUAAAUUGUGUGUAAAUGCAUUGGCCCGGAAAGGUGUGUUUAUUGAGUGACAUUUUUAAAAUAAUAAAAUGGAAAAUGGACGAAUGAAAAAUACGUAGCGUAUCUACAGACUUGUGUGGCAAAGGGUUGGGGGGGGGGGGGAGUUGUGCGCGUUGGUGGUUGUUGGUGCGUAGGUGAAAAGGUGUAAUUUGUUUAAAAAUGGUAAAAAUUUUAAUUUAAAAAAUAAUGAGUCGGGUUGUAAAUACAGUGGCCUAAAAAAGUGUGUGCAUUUUAUUUAAAUUCUGGCAUAAUUAAAUGGUUAAUUGGGUAGUGAUAAAUAAGGUGGUAUAUUCAGUGAGCAGUGCGGUGAAGGGAUGGGGGGGGGGGGCGAUCGCUACCGAUACGGGCGGGCAGCCAGUGGUGUGUGACAUUUGUAGAAAAAAAAAUGAGUGCAGUGAUGUGGGGAUAGUGUUUUUUUUUUUUUUUUUAAUGUGAAGUGAGCUGUGGAAAAGGAGGAAUGCUGAGACAGCAUUCAACAGCAGGCGACAGUUUGCAGUUUGCAGUUGAUAUCUCGGUGAAGUGAGCUGUGGAAAAGGAGGAAUGCUGAGACAGCAUUCAACAGCAGGCGACAGUUUGCAGUAUGCAGUUUGCAGUAUGCAGUUUGCAGUUGAUAUCUCGGUGAAGUGAGCUGUGGAAAAGGAGGAAUGCUGAGACAGCAUUCAACAGCAGGCGACAGUUUGCAGUAUGCAGUUUGCAGUAUGCAGUUUGCAGUUUGCAGUUGAUAUCUCGGUGAGUCAAAAAUUAAAGAAUUUUUAUUUAAUGUUAAGCAAUUGUGAUAAAUUUUGAAUUAUUUGUCACAAAUGUUUAACGAUGCUCAUGAUGAGCUUCUAGUGGAUAAGAGGUACGUUUAUCAGUUGUGAGAAAUUAAAAUUAAUUAAUAAAGUGAAGCUAGCCAGAGUUGGGGUUUUUGAAUUAAUUAGAGAAUUAGCUCUUAAUUGGGUUUUAUAUAAUUUUUUGGUGUGGUCAGUAGAAAUAAAAUGUUGAAAAAGGUUUUUUUGAAAAAGUAGUUUUUGUAAUUUGUCAUGCACUGUUGGACUCAGCUGUCACAUAUACUGGGGGUUGUAGGAAGAGGUGUUUUUUUUUUUGGGGGGGGGGGGCGGUGGGAAAUGAAGACGGGCGUUGCUGUAGAAUUCAGCGGCCGCCGUCAGAUCCCGCACUUUAUCCGUCGGACUCGGACGUGUAUUAUUGAUACCCGUCGGAGUGCGACCUGUAUCCUGAAUUACCCGUCGUACUUGACUGUGGUGAAGUGCGACGUGGAGUCCCGUUUUGUAUAUGCCCUGUAUAUUGGGCGGUAAAAAGCGCGUAAAUUUAGGGUGGAGGGGAAUGAAGACGGGGGGGGGAUCGUCCAGAAUUCGACGGCCUCCUUGUCGGAGCCCCCGGGGUUUUGUUCCGUCGGAGUUGGACAGCGAGGAAAAGGUGUCUGAUUCCGACGAAUCGUGUCCACGAAUUGAGCCAUCGUGUAUUAUAUAGGGGUGGAAAAUAUUUUUUGGACAAGCCUCGACGCAUUGAAUUGAAUGCGGAGGUUUAGUAUAUGCGGCGGCGGCGGCUAGUUUGGGUGGAAUGGUAAAUUAUAAGAAAUGAAUAUUUGAAGAAAGCUUUUUGAGGAUGAAAUGAAUAAUUAGUAAAAAAAUAAUUGAGUGGGAUGGUUAGCUUGACAGGUGGAUAUUUGUUAGUCGGAAUUUAGUAAUUUGCAUUGUAAAUGAUUUCUCACAAAUGAUGAAUAACCGUAAAGAGAACCUCGGGGGGAGGAGCAUUUAAAUGUAAAAGUGAUAAGGUAGUAAAAAUGUUUAACAUCUGUUAUGGGGAGAAAUAUAAAUUGAAAAUGUAUUUUUCAUUGCUAUUUCAUCGAGCCUGAGAAAUAUUUAACAAGGCUGAUAAAGAAUUGCGUUUUUUUUGUGGGGGAUUUUAGUGAUGAACCCGGGGGUUGAUCGCUGUGAAAGUUGUAAGGUACUGUUAAUGGUAUAAAUAUAAAUUUGUAAUUUUUUUGAAUUGAUAUUAAAUGGCGUGAGCAUGUUUUUAUGAAUAGAGAGAGUUAGAAGCGAAGUUUUGCAAAGCCUAGUCAUAAUGAAGUUGUAAGGGUUUCGCUAGAUGGUGUCAGUCAAGAAAUUGGUGGCCCUGCGAAACUUGUCACCCUUCAGACUAGAUUUGUUUACCUUUGCAAUAAAAUUGUUAGACUGGUUAGGAUAUUUUUAUGAAUAGAGAUUGAGAAGAGAGAGAGAGUUAGAAGCGAAGUUUUGCAAAGCCUAGUCAUAAUGAAGUUGUAAGGGUUUCGCUAGAUGGUGUCAGUCAAGAAAUUGGUGGCCCUGCGAAACUUGUCACCCUUCAGACUAGAUUUGUUUACCUUUGCAAUAAUAUUGUUAGACUGGUUAGGAUAUUUUGAUGAAUAGAGAUUGAGAAUAGAGAGAGUUAGAAGCGAAGUUUUGCAAAGCCUAGUCAUAAUGAAGUUGUAAGGGUUUCGCUAGAUGGUGUCAGUCAAGAAAUUGGUGGCCCUGUGAAACUUGUCACCCUUCAGACUAGAUUUGUUUACCUUUGCAAUAAUAUUGUUAGACUGGUUAGGAUAUUUUGAUGAAUAGAGAUUGAGAAGAGAGAGAGUUAGAAGCGAAGUUUUGCAAAGCCUAGUCAUAAUGAAGUUGUAAGGGUUUCGCUAGAUGGUGUCAGUCAAGAAAUUGGUGGCCCUGCGAAACUUGUCACCCUUCAGACUAGAUUUGCUUACCUUUGCAAUAAUAUGGUUAGACUGGUGAGGAUAUUUUUAUGGAUAGAGAUUGAGAAGAGAGAGAGUUAGAAGCUAGGUUUUGCAACAGUUAGUCAGAAUAAAGUCGUAAGAAUGUCACAAGAGGGUUUAAAUGAAGGAAUACUUAGCAAGGCGUGUGAAAAAUAGGGUUUUUAAAAUUGAUAAAAAUUUUUUGUCGGGUUGUCAGGUGUUAAAUUCAGAAGGUAUUGAAAAUGGGUGAAAUAAAAAUUUUGAAAAUAGCUUUAAUGAAUAUUCCAUGGUGUGAGACGAAUAUUUAGCAAAGCGUGUGAAAAAUUGAGUUUUUUAAAAUGAUUUUAAUGUUUUGCGGGGUUGUCAGGUGUUAAAUUGGUAACAUAUGGAAAAUUUUGAACCAAUGUUGGUAAUUGGUUAGAGCGCGGGUGACUUGUUCCACACGUCGAUAACUAGUCUGUCGGUAAGAGUAUUGGACGGUCGGUAUCUCGGCGAUGGGUAAAUAGUCGACGAAGUGUAAUGACGUGACAGGGUUAUCAGCCGUCAAACUUUUACCGUAUUGAAAAUAGUUGAAAUAAAAAUUUUAAAAAUAGCUUUAAUGGAUAUUAAAUGGUGUGAGACGAAUAUUUAGCAACGCGUGUGAAAAAUAGUGUUUUUGUUAUAUUGAUUUUGAUGUUUUGUGGGUUUGUUAUCAGUUAAACAGGUAAGUAUUGAAAAUUGUUAAAAUAAAAUUUUUUAAAAUAGCUUUAAUGGAUAUUAAAUGGUGUGAGUGGAAUAUUUAGCAACGCGUAUGAAGAAUUGCGUUUUUUUUUUAUUGAUUUUAAUGUUUUGCGGGGCUGUCAGCUGUUAAAUUUGCAACAUAUUGAAAAUGGUUGAAAUAACAAUUUUGAAAAUAGCUUUAAUGGAUAUUAAAUGGCGUGAGACGAAUAUUUAGUAACGCGUGUGAAAAAUGGCGUUUUUUUAAUUGAUUUUAAUGUUUUGUGGAGUUGUCAGCUGUUAAAUUUGCGACUUAUUGAAAAUGGUUAAAAUAAAAAUACUUAAAAUAGUUUUAAUGGAUAUUAAAUGGCGUGAGACGAAUAUUUAGCGACGCGUAUGAAAAAUUCCGUUGUUUUUAUAUUGAUUUUAACGUUUUGUGGGGUUAUCAGGUGUUAAAUUCGUAACAUAUUGAAAAUGGUUAAAAUAAAAUUUUUAAAAAUAGUUUUAAUUUAUAUUAAAUGGCGUGAGAUGAAUAUUCAGCAAGGCGUAUGAAAAAUUGGAAUUUUAAAAUUGAUUUUAAUGUUUUGUGGGGGUGUUAGCUAUAAAAUUUUGAACAUAUUGAAAAUAGUUGAAAUAAAAAUAAAAAAAAUAGGUUUAAUGGAUAUUAAAUGGUGUGCGACGAAUAUUCAGCACUGUGUGUGAAAAAUAGGGUAUUUGAAUUGAUUUUAAUGCGUUGCGGGGUUGUCAGCUGUCAAACUUGUAAAUAUUGAAAAUUUAGAAGUAGAUCGGUAAUUCGGUAGAGGGCAGGUGAUAUGUUCCAUACGUCGAUAACUAGGUUGUCGGUAAUAGUAUUGGAGGGUCGGUAUGUUGGAUGUGGGUAAAAUAGUGAUAUGAGUAUUAUGGGUAACCGACUCGAAGCGUCGGUAACUGGACUGAAGGUAAUGUUAGUCUUCGGUCGGUAUGUCGGCGAUGGGUAAAGAGUGAUAACAGUUUUAGGGGUAACCGGUUUCACGCGUCGAUAAUUGGACUGAUGGUAAUCCGAUUGGUAAUUUUUAAUUUAUAUAUAAAAUAUAAAAUUGAAAUAAAUACUUAUAAUUAAU